UGGAAUGUUAACAUAUGAUGAUCUAAUUCUGCUCUGAAGAAAAAUUUUAAUGUGCACUGGGAACAGUCAUACGGGCGUGCACCCAAACCGUGUUCUUGAAGCAUAUGAUUCUAAAAAAUUAAAAAUUGGAGAUGUUUGAAAAGACCAAUAGGUGCAGUGAAAAGAGAUUGACAAAUAUAACAGCUGAGAGCGGCACAUCCUGCAAAAGUGUGUUCUAUCAAAUGACUUUGCAAUUGUAAUGGACUAUUAGCUUCAAAUAGACAUAGAUGACAUCGUAAUGCCUCCAUAGAAGUUUUUCCUGAUACUUCCAAAUGUUCUUUCUUUAUAUGCUGCUGAAUCUUUGCUUCUGUUGCGAAUGACAUCUGAAAAGGAAAUAAAUGAAUUGAUCAUUAGAUUUUUAGACUUUAUUUAUGAUUUUAUAUAUGAUUUAAAAAGUGAUAAAUUUGUAUAAAUUUUCGAAAUAUCGAAUUAUUAUAUUUUAUAUUUAUCUAA